GAGGAUCGGUUGAAUCUUGUUGUUGCUAUCUACACUGGCGUUGGCCACCUAUUGCAAGGAAUUGUUGCCGGGCAGUGAACCAUUGGAGAAGGGGUUGUUGACAUGGAAUUAAGGUUAGUAGGAGAUGGAAAUGUGGAUAGCAGUGAGCAUCACACCUGUGGCUUCCAAUAGUGGGUUGCUCGGAUCGCAUGCUAACAGUGGAGUGUAAUGGAAUUGGGACUUUAUUCGAGGCGAGCGUCUCGACGUGGGAUUGAUUUAUUUUAUCAUGAUCGACA